rnacentral:lncRNA from 1 species
GGGAGGCAGAGAAAACUGGACAAAACAGAAAUCACAAUUUCAUUCCAGAAAUAACGUUGAAAUCAAUGAGUGAACCCAGAAUUACUCAACUGCACUAAGCUUUUUGAGAAUUAUGGAUGCUAACUUGAAUGGUGCAAGACAUAUGCUCAACAUAGAUUAAAGAUGGCAGAUAUAUAACCAAAUCCAGAAAUCCAGCAAUAUAUUAAAGGUGGCAAAAAGCUAGCAAAAUUAUUUAAGUUCAUCCUCUAUUACAAUAAAAUAGUUCUGAAUACAUAAAGUGCAGAAAUAUCACAAUCACAGCAGCAACUACUAAAGUGCUGAUUACAAAAAUAAGGUGGUUCAUUCGUCUAUUACAGAAAUAAAGACAUUGGAAUUCUAUGCUUGAUCCUGAUUUGCUGAUGGUAUGAUUGGGUCAGUUUGUUGUGUUUGGUCAGUGACAGUUGAUGCUUGGGUUGAUUGCUUGCAAGACUUCCUAUUGUGACCCAUUUCUCCACAAUUUCCACAUCUUUUACGAUGGCCACCCUUCCUCAUUCUUGUUUCAUCCCUGACCAACUCCCAUUCUUCCAACCUGCGUUUCUUCUUUGGUCUGCCUGGCAAUGCUCUCUUUUUUGGAGGGAAUACAUCGCUGUAUGGUGUAACCUGCCACAAGUUUUUUCCAUUUAACGGGUAGACAAUUGAAGAGUAUGUCUCUUCAUAUGUGGCCUUCCUAAACCAACCAGGUAUGAAGUCCUCUGCAUCUAAGUUGAGAAACUUCACAGCAGCCAACGCAUGACAACAUGGAAUUCCUGAGACAGCCCAUUUCCUGCAACUGCAUUCAUGUUUGUCUAGAUCAACCACGACCUUCUCCCCAACUUGAGAGGCAUGACGGACUUCAAAUAACUUCUCUGCUGACCAACUGCAAAAGAACAGGCACUUUUCAGUGAUGGCACAACUUAAAUAAGUGAUGUUACAUGAUGCUCAUAUUGAACCAUACCUUGGAAUCCAGAACUUAGUUAACUGGGACUCCUUAUUUAGUCUACUCUUGAUUUUAGGACAAAUGACCCCACUCAAUGUCUGACAUUUUGUUCUGUUACUUGCCCAUCUUUUCAUGAUGUAAAUCCGGAUGUCCUCCAUCAUGCUUAUUAUUGGCUUGGACCUUGUAUGCAGCAUAACACUGUUGAAUGCCUCUGACAUGUUGUUGACUAAUGUAUCACAUUUACUUGUGGUUGUAAACCAUGAUCUGGACCAGUGUCUACAUGGUAUGAAAACAGAACCAAAAUAAUUAUCAAUGUUCAUGUUAUGGCAACAAUUGAAACACAACCAAAAUAAUUAUCAAUGUUCAUGUUAUGGCAACUAUUGAAACAGAACCAAAAUAAUUAUGAGGUUAUGAAAAACAAACCUGGGAGGUAUUUUGAUCAGAUAUUUAAAAGCUUCAACGUUCAACUCUUUGAUAUUUGUCAUUUCCUUUUCCCAUGUUUGGGGAGUGGUUGCUGUAACUGCCUUCCACAUCAACCUCUUGAGUUGUUUCCCUGGGAAUUGUUUUCUGAAAUUAGCGUAUAGGUGUCUAACGCAAAAUCUGUGAUCAACUCUUAGAAGAAUUUCUUGAAAAGCUUGCAAUAGACCCUGUUAUAUCAAUAACAAAGUAAAAAGAUGUGUAUCACAAAAUAAUUUAACACACAUGAAUGUACAAGAAUUGUAACAGAGGUCUUUAUUUUGGUACCUUUUGUUGAUCUGACAUCCAUGUAAAUGAUGCACAUAUUGUCGUCCCACCAAGAUCUUCAACCAGAAGUUCUAUAAACCAUUUCCAAGUUGCCUUGUUCUCCACUUCCACAAUGGCAUAUGCAAUAGGUAGCAUUUGGUCGUUUGCGUCCCUUCCAACAGCAGUCAACAUUUCCCCACCAUAUUUACCUUUCAAAAAAGCACC